rnacentral:rRNA from 1 species
AUUGAACGCUGGCGGCAUGCUUUACACAUGCAAGUCGAACGGUAACAGGUCUUCGGAUGCUGACGAGUGGCGAACGGGUGAGUAAUACAUCGGAACGUGCCUAGUAGUGGGGGAUAACUACUCGAAAGAGUAGCUAAUACCGCAUGAGAUCUACGGAUGAAAGCAGGGGACCUUCGGGCCUUGUGCUACUAGAGCGGCUGAUGGCAGAUUAGGUAGUUGGUGGGGUAAAGGCUUACCAAGCCUGCGAUCUGUAGCUGGUCUGAGAGGACGACCAGCCACACUGGGACUGAGACACGGCCCAGACUCCUACGGGAGGCAGCAGUGGGGAAUUUUGGACAAUGGGCGAAAGCCUGAUCCAGCAAUGCCGCGUGCAGGAUGAAGGCCCUCGGGUUGUAAACUGCUUUUGUACGGAACGAAAAGCCUGGGGCUAAUAUCCCCGGGUCAUGACGGUACCGUAAGAAUAAGCACCGGCUAACUACGUGCCAGCAGCCGCGGUAAUACGUAGGGUGCAAGCGUUAAUCGGAAUUACUGGGCGUAAAGCGUGCGCAGGCGGUUUUGUGAGACAGUGGUGAAAUCCCCGGGCUCAACCUGGGAACUGCCAUUGUGACUGCAAGGCUAGAGUGCGGCAGAGGGGGAUGGAAUUCCGCGUGUAGCAGUGAAAUGCGUAGAUAUGCGGAGGAACACCGAUGGCGAAGGCAAUCCCCUGGGCCUGCACUGACGCUCAUGCACGAAAGCGUGGGGAGCAAACAGGAUUAGAUACCCUGGUAGUCCACGCCCUAAACGAUGUCAACUGGUUGUUGGGUCUUAACUGACUCAGUAACGAAGCUAACGCGUGAAGUUGACCGCCUGGGGAGUACGGCCGCAAGGUUGAAACUCAAGGGAAUUGACGGGGACCCGCACAAGCGGUGGAUGAUGUGGUUUAAUUCGAUGCAACGCGAAAAACCUUACCCACCUUUGACAUGACAGGAACUUACCAGAGAUGGUUUGGUGCUCGAAAGAGAACCUGCACACAGGUGCUGCAUGGCUGUCGUCAGCUCGUGUCGUGAGAUGUUGGGUUAAGUCCCGCAACGAGCGCAACCCUUGCCAUUAGUUGCUACAUUCAGUUGAGCACUCUAAUGGGACUGCCGGUGACAAACCGGAGGAAGGUGGGGAUGACGUCAAGUCCUCAUGGCCCUUAUAGGUGGGGCUACACACGUCAUACAAUGGCUGGUACAAAGGGUUGCCAACCCGCGAGGGGGAGCUAAUCCCAUAAAGCCAGUCGUAGUCCGGAUCGCAGUCUGCAACUCGACUGCGUGAAGUCGGAAUCGCUAGUAAUCGUGGAUCAGAAUGUCACGGUGAAUACGUUCCCGGGUCU